AAACCAAACCUUAAACUCAUCCAUGAAUCAAUCCAAACUUAUAUACAUGAUCGUUUUAACAGAAUUUGACUUUGAGACAAUUUAAAUAAAUACUCAGCAAUCAAACAUUGUCCUAUGCAGUACAUAUUCUACCUUCCUUAGUGAAACCUAAUCAAUCAUUAUGCCUAUUAAGUUUCCUAACACUAUCAACAGUAUGGCAGCUAAAAUAGUCCUAACUAUUCAUACAAGGAACUCAACUAUAAAAGUAAACUUUAAAUUAGGCAUGCUUGAGCAAAUCAAAACAGAAUUACUAAACUAAGAAACAUCAUACAUAAAGGAAUAUGGAAAUUAACAUUUGAUAAACUAACUUCUUAUUACAAUAUGGACUAAAAACAUGCUCUAAACUUCAUUUGCCACUCAACGGUUCAAAAGUACCUAGAUAUCAAGAAACAAAGCAAGUGUGAUAUAAGAAUUUCAGCAAAGCAGAAGCGUGAGAAUGGUAGCAAAUAAACAGCAAUACACAGCUUUCCUAAUCCAUGUUCAAUCCCAAGAAAACAGAAAUCAAAUGAAGGCUCUUCUAAGUUUUUACUAAAGAAAAAAUUAUAAGCAAUCGAGCCAGUUCCCAAUGAAAUAAUGCAGUAAAUUUUUAGUCCUUUUUAGGGUUCAGAAAUCUCUAUUAGUGUAUCUGAACGAGUGAAGAGAGGGUACUCUUUAUAGGAUUAAAAUGCCAUGUGCUGAAAAACAAAAUAAAGAAAUUAUCUCUUUAGCCACGAGGCAUCUUUUUAACAAACUUGGACAGCUGGUUCUCCUUUAUUGGCUUAUGCACUUUAUGCUAACCAAAUAAGGCCACUUGCCCCUAUUCUAGACCUUUCUUUCAUUGGCCUUAUCUGAAAUUGUCAUUUCAUACCCUUCUCAUGACCCCCCUUAAGUUUCUUCAUUAUUCAAUUAACCCCUAUAAGUUCUAAAUGACAUAUAAACUGUGGCAAACAUAAACAAAUAAGCAAAUGGACAAAUCAAAAGUAAAUAACAAAAUUGAAAGUGAACAUUUGCAAACUUAAAAUAAUCCUAGCCUCUAAAAUGAGCGAAAUUUAUAAUGAAACACCACAAGUGUUCUUCAAACUAACAAUUUUGAUGGUGAUAAUAUGAGAUUACUGAAUACAAACUAAACCUAGGUAGUAAAUAAACCAAGCUAUUAAAAGUUAAACAUAAUUAAACCAAAUAAUAAAUAUGACUAAAAUUAACUAAACUUGCUUUACGAGUUAAAUGGAUUAAAUAGAGCUAAACCAAAUUAACAAACCCUAACCGAACAAACUGUGAUUUUGAGGCCAGAUACAUAGAUAAAGGAACCCUAAAACCUGUUGACUAAGCAUGAGACUCUAACAAUCCACAGAUAAAGACUAACCAACCAUUCUUUAUUUCUCAGUCAAAGAAAGGGAAAAUCGAAAAAGACAGGGUGAAGAAGGAGAAGACGAUAAAAGAAAGGAAAAGAUAAGAACGAAGAAAUAGAAAGUGAAGAAGAUGAUUAGAAAUACCUAAUUAGACAGACAACAGUUGGCUCAGGCGGGACUCCGGCUUUCUCCAAUUUAAAUCGAAAUAAGUGUUAAUCGGAUGUUCUUCUUGAGAACAAAUAACUAACACCACUUUCAUGCCUAAAUUGCCUUUUUUAAACACGAAAGCAUGGGACUCAGGAUUUGCAUGACGAAUCAGAGAUAGGAACGGGUCUAGGGUUUCUAUUUGGAUCUGAAACUAAUGAAAAGGGUGGAGAUUUUACGAAAAUAAACGCUGGACUAGUUUUUUAAAGGAGUGUAAGGGGUGUAUGGUGUAGUUUUGAGGUUACUUGGGUGCCAUGGGAUUUUGGGGUUGAAUUCUCAGAUUUGAAAUAAGUGGGAUUUAGUGAAAAAUAUUGUUGGAUUUGGAAAGAGGGGGGUUGAGAAUUGCAUUGUUAAAUUUUGGGGCGGUUUGGAGACGGGCCGCUGUUGUGAGGUAAUUUCUGGAGGCGCGUGAGGCGGAGGCGGCGAAUGGUUUGGGGCGGAUAGUGUUUCGCUUUAUAGAUGGCUAGAGAUAGAAAUGAGGGGAUUGAUUUGGGGGGAAGGUCUCUGAAAUUUGGACACUAAUAUACGAAACAAAGGCCAAUCCCCAUUCGUUGGAUCACACGAGAUCAAU
rnacentral:lncRNA from 1 species